rnacentral:rRNA from 1 species
AACGAACGCUGGCGGCAGGCCUAACACAUGCAAGUCGAACGGACCCUUCGGGGUUAGUGGCGGACGGGUGAGUAACACGUGGGAACGUGCCUUUAGGUUCGGAAUAGCUCCUGGAAACGGGUGGUAAUGCCGAAUGUGCCCUUCGGGGGAAAGACUUAUCGCCUUUAGAGCGGCCCGCGUCUGAUUAGCUAGUUGGUGAGGUAAUGGCUCACCAAGGCGACGAUCAGUAGCUGGUCUGAGAGGAUGACCAGCCACAUUGGGACUGAGACACGGCCCAAACUCCUACGGGAGGCAGCAGUGGGGAAUCUUGCGCAAUGGGCGAAAGCCUGACGCAGCCAUGCCGCGUGGAUGAGGAAGGUCUUAGGAUUGUAAAAUCCUUUCACCGGUGAAGAUAAUGACUGUAGCCGGAGAAGAAGCCCCGGCUAACUUCGUGCCAGCAGCCGCCGUAAGAC